rnacentral:rRNA from 1 species
UGUCAAAUCAUCAUGCCCCUUAUGACCUGGGCUACACACGUAAUACAAUGGCGUUUAACAGAGGGAAGCGAAGGGGCGACCCGGAGCGAAACCCUAAAAAGCGUCUCAGUUCGGAUUGCAGGCUGCAACUCGCCUGCAUGAAGUCGGAAUUGCUAGUAAUCGUGGAUCAUCAUGCCACGGUGAAUACGUUCCCGGGCCUU